rnacentral:rRNA from 1 species
UAAAAAAUUUUGGCGGUAUUUUAAGCUUAUUAGAGGAAUUUGCUCUGUGAUGGACACAACGCCUUAAUCUUACUUAAUUUAGUAAUUUAAAUCAGUUUGUAUACCACUAUAUUAAUUAUAUUGAAUAGUUAUAUUUAAAAUUUUUUUUAAAAAAUAUAUUAAGUCAAGGUGCAUCUAAUAAUUAUGAAUGAAGUGAAUUACAUUAAUUUUAAUGUAAUUUUUUACAUGAAAAAAUUAAUUAGGAUUUAAUAGUAAAAUACUAAUAUUAUGAGUAUUUGAAUCAAGCUCUAAAAUAUGCACAUAUCGCCCGUCGCUCUCAGAAGUGAGAUAAGUCGUAACAAAGUAAAAAUACUGGAAAGUGUUUUUUAAAAUGAAAUCAUUCGAUGUUUCAUUUACAAUGAAAAUUUUGUUGUUUAACCAUUUUAA